CACGGUCUGGACUCUUACCCAGCCCUCCCCUCGCUUUACUGCUCCUAAGGCCGCGGGCCCACUCUGGGCACCAGCUCUGCCCUCCUUCUAAACUGUUUCUUCUGCAGCAAACAAGGACCGAUGGAGUGAAUCCAUGCGCCUCCAGGAAGUACUGUAUGUACUAGUGACAAAUAGGAAGUGGUCUAAGAGUCAGAAUCGCUCUGCCUCGGGCCAUAGGGACCCUGAGACCUCAUUCCUGAAUGCCCAUUUUGCCCCUCGGCUGUGCAAGGUUAAGCAUACAAAGUGAGUCCCCAGGAGUUCAGAAAUAGAAGAUAAGGAAGAGAUUAUUUUCUGAGGUGUCCUUGUAUUCCAAGAACACAGGCUCCCUCAAGGUCCUGCAUCAGAAGUAAGCCCCAUCCAUAACCUUUGGAAACCUAGCCUAAGUGUCCUCUAGGAUCCAUUAGAAGGCUUACUCCUGGUCACAUGACUGAGAUGCGUUGCCUCGUCUCAAGAAUAAACUGAAAACAUUUAAAGUAUGAACCCAGAUACCCAAGAGUUUAUGUGUUCCCUAAACAUAAGAAACUUAAAAAAAGAAAAGAAAAAAAACAGUGCAUAAAGAAUACAGAGGAAAAUGAUUAAGACCAUGAAUUUUGAGUAGGCCUAUAUUCAAACUCAAAUUCUACCUAGAAUAACAUGAAAGAAUGAUCAGAAAUACAUGACAGUGUCUACUAGGAGGCAGCGACUUUCAGUCUUGAAAAUGACUGAUUACAUAAAGAGUACUUUCUUAGUACAUUGAGAGGCAGGCAGAUCUCUAUGAGUUCAAGGCCAGCCUAGUCUACACAGUUCCAGGACAAUCAGAGCUAUACAGGGAAACCCUUUCUUAUGACCCGCAAAAAGCAGGGGGGGGGGGAGCAAGAAGAAAAGAGGGAAAGAUAAUUUCAGGAGGUUACAUGUUUAGUAAUUGUGAUGGCCUUAAUGAGAAUGUCCCUCACAGGCUCAUGUAUCUGAACACUUGCUCCCUAGUAGUCCAGUGCCGUUUGGGGAGGUAUAAGCAGCCCAGCCUUGCUGGAGGAAGUCACUGGUGGUGGUGAUGGUGGGCUUUAAUGGUUCCAAGCCUGGUUCCUUGCGCAGUACUCUUCUCUAUGCUUGGUGUUUAUGGUUCAAGACCUGAGCAGUCAGCUUCCUAUGCUGCUGCCACCCAUAUCAAGCUCCCCUGCCACCACUGACUCUAGACCCUCUGGAGAAAUUCACCCAAAUAGAUACUUUGUUAUAAAAGUUGCCUCGGGGUUGGGGAUUUAGCUCAGUGGUAGAGCUCAUGCCUAGGAAGCGCAAGGCCCUGGGUUCAGUCCCCAGCUCCGAAAAAAAGAACCAAAAAAAAAAAAAAAGUUGCCUCGGUCCUGGUGCUUUGUCACAGCACAGAGCUGUAACUAAUGCAGCAAUAUAGAAAGAUAGUUUUAUUACACAGUGUCAGGAAAAUACAGGGGUGAAAACAAUAAUAUGUAAUCUGAAGUCCUAACUCUGGGAGGUAGAAACAGGAAAGUCAGGCGUUCAAGGCCAGUUUCUCCUACAUAUUUAGUUGCAUAUGGGGUAAGUGAGACCAAAAAUAAUAAAUAGGUAAAUAAAAAUAAGGGUAGUCUGAUUUCAAGCUACUAGAAUUCAUAUGUGUGUGUUUGAAUUAUAUAUCUGCAUAGUAAAAAAGCCCACUAUAUACCAAGAUUUAGCAAAUGAUUAUUAUUCUUGGACUUAGAUUUAUUUAUUUUAUUUAUAUGAGUACACUCUAGCUGUUUUCCAAAACACACCAGAAGAAGGCAUCAGAUCUCAUUACAGAUGGUUGUGAGCCACCAUGUGGUUGCUGGGAGUUGAACUCAGGACCCCUGUCACUGAGUCAGCUCUCCAGCCCUAUUCUUGGACUUAAAGAUGGUUUCUUCAGCCACUGCUAACCUCCACCUAGGCAGACACCGUGCUAAGAUGUGGACUAGGGAUCAGGACAGUGAUACCUAUAGCAUGACCGAGGACGAAGAGAAUGGGGACAACCAGAAGUGUUGGAGAACUGGCCUUUGACCAGUAAAUGAUGGACAACUGCAACUGACUUUGCUGAGCUAACUUGCAGUGGAGAAGCCACAGAGACCGAAGCGCAGUGUGACAUAAUUUACAAAGUGAGCCAGUGUCUCCUUCUGUGCCCCAACACAGAUGACUGUGAGAACUUGUCACAUACGAUGGGAUCUGACUUCUUCUUUUUUUUUUUUUUUUCUUUUUUUCGGACCUGGGGACCGAACCCAUGGCCUUGCGCUUGCUAGGCAAGUGCUCUACCACUGAGCUAAAUCCCCAACCCCAGGAUCUGACUUCUUUGAACAACGUGAUUGGCUUUCUCCUUCCUGGUACCCUUCUUGUUCCCUCCCUGGCUGAACUUUACUUCUCAGACCACGUUGAGCACCACGUUUGUGGGGAGAGAGGAAGUCACACGGGAGUUACUGGUUCAGCUGCAUCCUUCAUAGGUGUUUUGCCAGUGUGUAUAUCUGAGCACCAUAUAUAUACACAGUGCCUAUGGAGACCAGAAGAAGGCAUCGGAUCCCCUGGAACCAGAUACAGGUGAUUGUAAGCAGCCAUGUGGAUGCAGGGAACUGUACCCAGGUCCUCUGGAAGAGCAGCCAGUGCAGCUAAGCACGGAACCACCUCUCCAGUCCCUCAAAGUCAUAUCCACUCCUGGACUAGCAGGCUAACGGGAUGCAUUCCUGUUGGAUAUGGUAUAACUUCCCAACCUUAGAGUCAUAAUGGACACCACCACACGCUGAUUUUUUUUAAAUCACAGUAAUUGCCAAAGGGAUUUAGCUCAGUGGUAGAGCACUUGCCUAGGAAGCGCAAGGCCCUGGGUUCGGUCCCCAGCUCCAAAAGAAAGAACCAAAAAAAAAAAAAAAUUACAUAUCAUUGACUUUGCAAAUGACAUAGCAUCAUUGAUCUAAUAUAUGAUCAAUGUUGAGACAAAUAUUAAUACCUGUCAGUGUGAUGUCUGAUAAAUAUCUAGCCUUGCUAUGUUUUCUAAAAAAUGUAAAGUGUCCCAUGGUACCUCUGGAUUCUGAGCAAUACCCAAGAAUCCCCUAGACCAGAAUUUGGGAACCAUGAGUUUUAAGAAUUAGACAAUCAAAUGACUUCCCUGCUGACCCAACUCCCUGGAAAACAGGGUAGAGGUCAAGGCCACAGCCUGCUGGGAUAAGAUGCCACAGUGUAAAUUUUAUACAUAGGCAGGGCUAAUGAGUCCCUUGGCCCAGGCCAUGGGGAAAAUCAUGGCUUCCCGUUUAGCAGGAGGAAGAAGGAAGCUGGGAUUUUUAGAGGGACAGAUGAUCAGGGUCCAGUGCAUCUCUGGCUUCUUCAGACUACCAAGCAAGACGCAAGAUGGAAAUGCACAUCCUCUGCCAAAAUGUAUUAACAGUUCCAGACCACGGUGUGGUGGCUCAGACCUGCAAUCCCAGCGGUUGGGAGGUAGUCGCAUGAGACUCAAGAUCCCACUACAAGGUGAGUUUGAGGCUAGUGAGGGCUAGGUGAACCCUACCUCAAAAUAACAACAAAACAAAACAAACAACAUGCCAAGUAGUUGAGGAGAGAUUUGCUUGUUGUUCAAGCAUGAGGACCUUAGUACCCAUCUAAACCAAAUGUCUGUAAUCCUGGUACUAGGGAGACAGACGUGGGCAGAUGCCUACAGCUUGCUGGCUAGCCAGCGCAACGGAACGGUGAGGUCCAGGUUCAGUGAGAGGCCCUAUCUCAAUUAAUUGAUUAAUUACGGGACAGAGUGGUUCAAGUGGGGAAGGGAUUCAAUGUUGACUUCUGUCUUAGAAGCCUGUGCACACCCCAUGACCACAUACAUACACAAAAUGAUUUCAAAGCUCGGUGUGCCGGUUCACACCUAUAAUUCCAGUGCUGAGAAGCAGGAGAAUUGGCACUAGUUGGAGACCAAGCCUGGGCUACAGAAUAACAACACCCUGGCUCAAAGGAGCAACUUCAAGGCAGCAAGAGCAGAGCAGUAAGCCAAACACUGCUUUAGGAGCAGGCCCACACAGGACUACGUGUUACCUCUGGACCCAGGUUUACUUCCGGUGUUCACCUGCCUUUCUGGCUCGCGGUCACCCACUGUAACAUAAUUAUGCCUUUGGCAUGAAACACACCUCUGACUUGGAACCAGCCUGAAGGACCUCUAGGGCAACACCACAUGGCUGUCAUCCAAGACUGCAUAGCUUGCUGAUGACCAACUUGGCUGAGACUUGCUUGUCUCUUUUGUGCAACGUACUCAAGGCCAUGAGAGAGGUCAGCACUCUCGAUCUGACUUUUUUUAGACUAAGAGCGUCCUGCGUGCCAGGCUGCGGGCAAGCCAGGAAGUAGCAUCCCGUGCCCACAGUCCCAGGCAGCAGGACAGCAACACCUGAGACUGCAGAGCUCCUGGUCACUUGUCCCUGGCAAGAAGCACCCUCGUCUGGCAGGGAGCAUCCUUGUUUGUUUGGAUCAGCAAGCCUUACACAGCUGUGCUAUUUUGUGUGGGUGUGAAAACACUGUGAGGAAAUCCCAUCUUUAAACCUACAGAGUCCAAGGUCUACAAGUGGUCCGUCCCCUAAGGCAAACCAGCCAGCCUCAAGCCCAUCACAGGAGCACCAGCUUUCCAGUCAUAGGGGUUCCUUCUGCUGAGCACAGGCCCAGCUCAGUCUUCCAGACACCCUCUGGUCCUGAUCCAAGCCUUCCUCCUUCUCUCUCUUCCUCUUUCCUCCUCCUUCUCUCUUUCUCUCCCCCCCCCCCAAUGCAUGAGGCAUGGAAGGUGCACAUUUUUACAUUUUUUUAAAAAAAGAUUAAUGUAUUCUAUGUAUGUGAGUACACUGUCGCUGUCUUCACAUACAUCAGAAGAGGGCAUCGGAUCCCAUUACAGAUGGUUGUGAGCCACCAUGAGGUUGCUGGGAUUUGAACUCAGGACCUCUGGAAGAGCAGUCAAUGCUCUUAACCACUGAGCUGUCUCUCCAGCCCCUGAUCCAAGUCUCUUGUUUCUCUAAACUGUCAAUUUUAGAUGAUGGGAAAGUAUUCAAAACUAUCUUAAAUGGGAAGAAUAAGUUAUUGUCUUAUAUAACUGAAAGGAAAAAAAAAGCAGAUUCUCCUUGUGUGUUUUGUUUGUGAGUCUGGGACUCACACCCAGGCUCUUACACAUGCUGGGCGGGUCACUUCUGAUCUAUGUCCCUGUCCUUGUAAUUUUGAAGUAGAGGCUCUAUGUAGCUCAGACUGUCAAUGAGCCUGCAGUCCCCCUCAGUCUGCCUCCCAAGUGCUUGGGGUUACUGAAGCACACCCUCUCCCUGGCUGACAGCCAAUGUUUGUAAGUCAGCCUUAGUCACAUAUUAGGACUCAAAUGGUAAGAGGCUGGGUUGACAAUAUAGUUCAACUGAUAGAGCGCUUGUCUAGCAUGCAGGAGACCCUCAGCACCACAUAAACCAAGUGUGAUGUACCUGCCUGCAAUCUCGGAAUCAGAGAAAUAGAUGCAGGGAGAUUAAGAGUUUGGGGCUGGGGAUUUAGCUCAGUGGUAGAGCGCUUACCUAGGAAGCGCAAGGCCCUGGGUUUGGUCCCCAGCUCCGAAAAAAAGAACCAAAAAAAAAAAAAAAAAAAAAAGAGUUCAAGGCCCAGGGGUUGGGGAUUUAGCUCAGUGGUAGAGUGCUUGCCUAGCAAGCGCAAGACCCUGGGUUCGGUCCCCAGCUCCGGAAAAAAAAAUAAAAAAAAGAGUUCAAGGCCCUGAAGGGAUUUGCAACCCCACAGGAAGAAUACCAACUAACCAGACCUCUCAGAGCUCCCAGGGACUAAACCACCAACCAAAGAGUACACAUGGAGCGACCAUGGCUCCAGCUGCAUGUGUAGCAGAGGAUGGCCUUGUUGGGCACCAGUGGGAGGGGAGGUCCUUGGUCUGGUGAAGGCUCGAUGCCCCAGUGUAGGGGAAUGCCAGGGCAGGGAGGAGGAAGUGGGUUAGUGGGUGGGGAAGCACCCUCAUAGAAGCAAGGGGAGGGAGGACUGGGACAGGGGGUUCCGGAGGGGAAACCAAGAAAGGGGAUGAUAACAUUUGAUAUGCAAAUAAAGAAAAUAUUCAAUUAAAAAUGCAAAAAAAAAAAAAAAAGAAUCACCCAUUACCUGGGACCUCAAUCUUAAGAGUCUGUUAGUCAUCCUUCCUGCUUGAUCACAAGAAAAAACAAAGAUGUUCAAAAGAACUCAGUCAGUUCUGCUAUACUCUUUUUUUUUUCUUCCCCCCGGAGCUGAGGACCAAACCCAGGGCCUCACGCUUGCUAGGCAAGUGCUCUACCACUGAGCUAAAUCCCCAACCCCUGCUAUACUCUUAAUAAAAUAUAAAAAUGUCAAUUUAAAAAAAUAAAGCCUUGUUUAUGUCAACUGUAACAAAAAAUUAAAAAUGAGUUCAAGGCCAUGCACAGCUACACAGUGUUUACAUGAGGCCAGGGUGUGUAAGUGCCAUGUGUGGGGUGGCACCCAAGGAGACCUGAAGAGGGCAUUAGAUCUGAGAACUUCUGAAGCUGGAGUUACCAGGCAGUUGUGCACUGCCAAUAAGAAUGCUGAGAACUAGCCUUUAAUCCCAGCAUUUGGAAGGCAGAGGCAGGCAGACAUCUGUGAGUUCAAGGCCAGCCUGGUCUACUGAGCAAGUUCUGGGACAUCCAGGGCUACACAGAGGAACUCUAUCCUGAAAAACAAAACAACAAACAAACAAACGGCUGAGAGCCAAACUCCCGUCUUCUUGCAGUUCUUCCAGAGCAGGUGCUAAAUAUCAAUUGUUAACCCAUCUUCACAGCCAUGGACAUAGAGAAAGUAGAAUGAAAGCUGCAAGAGGUGACUAUGGCUUCUGACAACCAGAGCUAAAGACUCGAACAAGUACCCAGGACUCUUACUACUAUUUUGAGUUUGGAGCCAGAUGGGGCCUUCGUGGUAAGACACCCGCUCUGGUCUGAUUCCUAGCACUACAAAAGGAACGAAAUAGAAAAGAUGAAAGCCCGGAAAGAGCUGUGAUAGGGCAAGGGCAUUGGAAGGCGGGGUGGUCUGAGACUGGCCCCCAUAGGGUCAUGUAUUUGAACACACGUUCCCCAGUUAGUGGAACUGUUUAGGAAGGAUUAGGAGGUGUGGCCUUGUUGGAAGAGGUGUGUCAUGCCAGGCCAGUCUUGCUUUCUGUCUACCAUGUGUUUAUGCAUCAGCUGUAAGCUCUUAGCUCCAGCUCCAGCACCAUGCCUGCCUGCCUGCCUGCCUGCCAGCCAGCUAGCCACUACUCCCGGUGCCAUGAUGAUCUGCAACUAUAAGCAAGCCCUCAAUCAAAUGGUCCCUUUAAAAGUUGCCUUGGCCAUGGUGUUUCAUCAUAGCAAUUAGAACAGCAAUGGAGACAAAUGGGCCUGAGUGAUUUCUUGGGGCAAGACUAAAUAAAGAUGUAGUCAGCAGACAAAAGUCCUGUGACCUCUGAAGUGGGGAAGUAGGGGCUAAGGGUAGCUGCUUAAUCUGAAACCUGAGAAAUCCAGGAUCAUCUUUCAGAACUACAAGGCUAGCCAGUCUUAGAUCAUAGCCAACAUACUUUUCAUUGAAGACACAGAUAGUAAAUAUGUUGGGCUUCAACCUCACCGUUGUGUUAGCAAAGCAGCCACAGGCGAUACAUUUGCUCACAAAGUUGUAAAUAAAACUGUAUACUGGG